rnacentral:rRNA from 1 species
AUUGAACGCUGGCGGCAUGCUUUACACAUGCAAGUCGAACGGUAACAGGCCUUCGGGUGCUGACGAGUGGCGAACGGGUGAGUAAUGCAUCGGAACGUGCCCAGAGGUGGGGGAUAACGCAGCGAAAGCUGUGCUAAUACCGCAUGUGAUCUGAGGAUGAAAGCGGGGGACCAGGCAGCAAUGUUUGGCCUCGCGCCUUUGGAGCGGCCGAUGUCAGAUUAGGUAGUUGGUGGGGUAAAGGCCUACCAAGCCGACGAUCUGUAGCUGGUCUGAGAGGACGACCAGCCACACUGGGACUGAGACACGGCCCAGACUCCUACGGGAGGCAGCAGUGGGGAAUUUUGGACAAUGGGCGCAAUCCUGAUCCAGCAAUGCCGCGUGCGGGAAGAAGGCCUUCCGGUUGUAAACCGCUUUUGUACGGAACGAAAAGUCUCUGGCUAAUACCUGGGGCUGAUGACGGUACCGUAAGAAUAAGCACCGGCUAACUACGUG